rnacentral:rRNA from 1 species
GAUGAACGCUAGCUACAGGCUUAACACAUGCAAGUCGAGGGGAAACGGCAUCGAAAGCUUGCUUUUGAUGGGCGUCGACCGGCGCACGGGUGAGUAACGCGUAUCCAACCUGCCCAUCACUUGGGAAUAACCUUGCGAAAGUAAGACUAAUGCCCAAUGACAUCCCACGAAGGCAUCCGAAUGGGAUUAAAGAUUUAUCGGUGAUGGAUGGGGAUGCGCCUGAUUAGCUUGUUGGCGGGGUGACGGCCCACCAAGGCAACGAUCAGUAGGGGUUCUGAGAGGAAGGUCCCCCACAUUGGAACUGAGACACGGUCCAAACUCCUACGGGAGGCAGCAGUGAGGAAUAUUGGUCAAUGGGCGAGAGCCUGAACCAGCCAAGUAGCGUGCAGGAGGACGGCCCUAUGGGUUGUAAACUGCUUUUAUAAGGGAAUAAAGUGGGUCACGUGUGACUUUUUGCAUGUACCUUAUGAAUAAGGACCGGCUAAUUCCGUG